rnacentral:rRNA from 1 species
UACGUAGGGUGCGAGCGUUAAUCGGAAUUACUGGGCGUAAAGCGUGCGCAGGCGGUUCUGAAAGUCAGCUGUGAAAGCCCCGGGCUUAACCUGGGAACUGCGGUUGAAACUACAGGACUAGAAUCUGGCAGAGGGGGGUGGAAUUCCACGUGUAGCAGUGAAAUGCGUAGAGAUGUGGAGGAACACCGAUGGCGAAGACAGCCCCCUGGGCUGAGAUUGACGCUCAGGCACGAAAGCGUGGGGAGCAAACAGG